AGGACGAACGCUGGCGGCACGCUUAACACAUGCAAGUCGAACGAGGUCCAUCCACUCGCAAGAGUGGUGAAGACCUAGUGGCGAACGGGUGAGUAACACGUGAGAAACCUGCCCCGAAGACCGGGAUAACUCACCGAAAGGUGAGCUAAUACCGGAUACCCUCACGACGCUUCAUGGCGAUGUGAGGAAAUGGAUUCCGCUUCGGGAGGUCUCGCGGCCUAUCAGCUUGUUGGUGAGGUAACGGCUCACCAAGGCGACGACGGGUAGCUGUUCUGAGAGGAAGAUCAGCCACACUGGGACUGAGACACGGCCCAGACUCCUACGGGAGCAGCAGUGGGGAAUCUUGCGCAAUGGGCGAAAGCCUGACGCAGCGAUGCCGCGUGCGGGAAGACGGCCGUUCGGGGUUGUAAACCGUCUUUACGA
rnacentral:rRNA from 1 species